CAACUACUCCCUCCGUUCCAAAUUACUUGUCGAAGAAAUGGAUGUAUCUAGAACUAAAACACAUCUAGAUACAUCCAUACCUACGACAAGUAAUUCGGGACGGAGGGAGUACAAG
rfam:Triticum urartu cultivar G1812 contig618698, whole genome shotgun sequence.